rnacentral:rRNA from 1 species
AGUGAACGCUGGCGGUAGGCCUAACACAUGCAAGUCGAACGGCAGCACAGUAAUUUCUUGCUCUUACGGGUGGCGACUGGCGGACGGGUGAUGAAUACAUCGGAAUCUACUUUUUCUUGGGGGAUAACGUAGGGAAACUUACGCUAAUACCGCAUACGUCCUACGGGUGUAAUCAUGUGAUCUUCGGACCUUUCCCGAUUCUAUUAGCCGAUGUCGGAUUAGCUAGUUGUCGGGGUAAAUGCCCACCAAGGCGACGAUCCGUAGCUGGUCUGAGAGGAUGAUCAGCCACACGGGAACUGAGACACGGUACAGAGUCCUACGGGAGGCAGCAGUGGGGAAUAUUGGACAAUGGGAGAAAGACUGAUGCAGCAAUACCGCGUGGGUGAAGAAGGAGUUCGGGUUGUAAAGCCCUUUUGGUGGGAAAGAAAAGAAGCAGGUUAAAACACCGCUGUUCUGACGGUACCCAAAGAAUAAGCACCGGCUAACUACGUG